GCUCCAGACUCCUACGGGAGGCAGCAGUAGGGAAUUUUGCGCAAUGGGGGAAACCCUGACGCAGCAACACCGCGUGAAUGUUAAGCCCUUCGGGGUGUAAAGUUCUGUCAAUAGGGACGAAUUUUGACUGUACCUAUAAAGGAAGCACCGGCUAACUCCGUGCCAGCAGCCGCGGUAAUACGGGGGGUGCAAGCGUUGUCCGGAUUUACUGGGUGUAAAGGGAGCGCAGGCGGCACGGCAAGCCUGAUGUGAAAGCCCGCGGCCCAACUGCGGGACUGCAUUGGGAACUACCGGGCUGGAGUGCCGGAGAGGUAGGCGGAAUUCCUAGUGUAGCGGUGAAAUGCGUAGAUAUUAGGAGGAACACCAGUGGCGAAGGCGGCCUACUGGACGGUGACUGACGCUGAGGCUCGAAAGCGUGGGGAGCAAACAGGAUUAGAUACCCUGGUAGUA
rnacentral:rRNA from 1 species